UUCACCAAGGCAAUUCUAGGCAGCUUAUAGUCAAGUAGUUAAAAUGACCAUAUAAAACAUGAAAACAAUAAAUAAGAACCAUACCAUUAAAAAUUCAGAUAAAAUUUGUACUUGAACAUUGGCAGAUGCUAAAAAUGACUUUUAAGUGGUUCUUGAUCAACUGUCAAAUAUUAGUUUUUUCCUUCAAUAUCAAGUUUGUAGUUUAUGCUAAUUAAUAUCCCAAAUAGAAUAUAUUGUCUUUUCUGAAAGUAUUUUUAUUCUCUUUUUUUCAUAUUCAACUCCAGAGGCAGCAAACGUAUCAGUAUUCCUCCUGUUUUUCCCACAAUCACCCUGGUCCAAAGUCACCCAGCCAGGUUUUCAACACAAUCUCCUGAUUUUUACAGUAGACUAUUACUUUAACCACAAUACCAACCUGUCUCUUGAAAUACAGGCUGUCCCUAAUCUUAGUUUGUUAUAUUUAUAUUCCACCUUUCUGGCAAGAAUCAGCACCGUCACUUUCACUUUCAUUUGAGGCAGGUUAGGUUGAAAAAUAUUGCCCAAACAUUACAUAAUGAAGAUAGGGGCAACUGGACAUUUGAAAGUGUGAGUCCACAGUACUGGUUUAGAAACUUUAAUUACACAUACAGGUUGGCUUUCUGUUAAAUAUGAAUACAGACUACAAUAGGUUUUCAAAUAUAAAGAUAUAGAAAGAUAUAUAGUUCAUGAUAAUUGGCACCAGUAUAGUUUUGAUUCCAAAGUCACCUUUGUACUAAUCUACUGCCCAAUGACAUCAUUGCUGAUUUAAUAAUUCUGCUGAUGCUGGCCUUCUAUGAUCUUGAUCACAUGAGACAAUUGCCUGAAUAUUUCAACAACUCUUAACAAUGAAGUUGGCUUAUAGGAAAGGAGACUUUAGACAAAAACAGCUUUAAGGAAGAAAAACAUCAUGAACAAUGAAUAGAGACUGAAGAACACAAUGAAAAUUAUGUGCAAAUGGUGAUGGGGUAAUAUCUGAAUUCUACUAAACACCUUCCUGAUGGGCGGAACUCCAAUAUGCUUGUUCUUACAAAUAAUGGAGAAAUCUACUAAGCAGCAGAUGUCCAGGCUGGAGUCUCAGGAGAGUUUCACAGAUGUUUAUGCUAUGGCAAAUUUUUCUCUUCCACCAUUAAAACCACCAGGAAAGCCACUAUCGCUGUUUAAAGUGCACCUACCACCAAUGAAACUAUCAGGAAGACAAAUACCAGCAUCUUCAACUAUCACAGCUGCUCCCUUGUAUCAAAAUAGAGAAUCAAACAAACAUUUAUCAUCUUGUAUACCAGAAACAAACACCAUUUUUCUCCCUCAAGUGAAUAUUUCAGGAAAGAAAAUAGGAAGAAAAUACUAUGAACUCCCUCCAUUGACCACUACAGUGAAACAGACAGAAGCAAUACAGGAAGCAAUUUAUCUGCAAGUGAGCAAUAUUCAGGCAGGUUCAUUUUAAAAUAGGCUAGGCCAGAGUUCCCCAAUCUUUCCAGCUUGGCAGACAGGGAGGGGCAGAAGGAAAAGGGAUGGUUCCACGCAAGCGGCCAGCAAGUGCACACAUAUGGCACAGCUUCGUUUCCAUGAGUGGUAUGCACAUGCACUGCUUAUGAAAAUGGAAUGCUACUCACGCAAGUGGGGAUGCAUGUUCACGUGCGCAUGUUCAUCCACCGUUUCUGUGGUCUGGUUGGAAACAGCUUACGGCCCACUAGUGGGCCACAACCCAGA